UCGUCGUCUUCUUCACCAGGUUUACCGAAGGAGCAGCAAUCUAAGUUAAGUAAAUGCAGCGCCCCCAACAGAUUGGCUCGGCAUUCACCAAUGGAGAGCAGCUGUCAAAUAAUUUUGACACAGCCUGAGUUGAACACAGAGAGAGAGAGGAUGGAUGGAUCUUCUCACAUUUAUCUUUGGCACCAUCUGAUAUGUGGCAGAAUUCAUGAUGAAUUCCAUUAUGUUGAGCUGAUCAAGUCCUGCUGCAGCAGAGCAUUCCCAUAUCAUGACACCACCACUUCUAUGGUGGCGUUUUCUUCAAUGUUGUUAUGCAGUUCUUUUUGUG